rnacentral:lncRNA from 1 species
ACAUAGUUAAAAGUUAUCACAAAUGCUCUAUUAUAAAUAAAUCACCACUCAUUUCCUCAAUUUAUUCAUUCUAAAAGCUUAUUUAACAAGGCAAAAAAUAAGUCCUCAAACUGCAGUUUCCUUAAACUGGGCAUAAAAUAACUAUGAAUCUCCAUAUUUAUAUUAGGCAUAAUAAAGUUUGGACAUAAAAUAUUUCAAUAAUUUGAGAGUUCGAUCCAAAAUUAUUGCUACUAAAAGAAAUAAUAUUUGCAAACUUAGUUAAGCCUUUAUAAAGUGAGUAUGAGAUUUAUUAUACUACUUAAAUCUAUUCAUGUGAACCAUUUAAAGAAUAUCACCCUAAAUUGUAAUUAAGUAUUCAUUAAUUUUGCCUAAUUAUAAAACUUUAAGAAGAUAAAAAAAUAGAAUAAAA